AUUGAACGCUGGCGGCAUGCCUUACACAUGCAAGUCGAACGGUAACGGGCCUUCGGGUGCCGACGAGUGGCGAACGGGUGAGUAAUGCAUCGGAACGUACCUUUCAGUGGGGGAUAACGUAGCGAAAGUUACGCUAAUACCGCAUAUUCUGUGAGCAGGAAAGCAGGGGAUCGCAAGACCUUGCGCUGAUUGAGCGGCCGAUGUCAGAUUAGCUAGUUGGUGAGGUAAAGGCUCACCAAGGCGACGAUCUGUAGCGGGUCUGAGAGGAUGAUCCGCCACACUGGAACUGAGACACGGUCCAGACUCCUACGGGAGGCAGCAGUGGGGAAUUUUGGACAAUGGGGGCAACCCUGAUCCAGCCAUGCCGCGUGAGUGAAGAAGGCCUUCGGGUUGUAAGCUCUUUCGGCCGGGAAGAAAUCGCAUGGGUUAAUACCCUGUGCGGAUGACGGUACCGGCAUAAGAAGCACCGGCUAACUACGUGCCAGCACG
rnacentral:rRNA from 1 species